GACGAACGCUGGCGGCGUGCUUAACACAUGCAAGUCGAACGGUAAGGCCCCUUUGGGGGUACUCGAGUGGCGAACGGGUGAGUAACACGUGAGUAACCUGCCCUUGACUUCGGGAUAACUUCAGGAAACUGGGGCUAAUACCGGAUAGGAAUCCUUGCUGCAUGGUGGGGGUUGGAAAGCUUCGGCGGUUUUGGAUGGACUCGCGGCUUAUCAGCUUGUUGGUGGGGUAGUGGCUUACCAAGGCUUUGACGGGUAGCCGGCCUGAGAGGGCGACCGGCCACAUUGGGACUGAGAUACGGCCCAGAAUCCUACGGGAGGCAGCAGUGGGGAAUAUUGCACAAUGGGCGGAAGCCUGAUGCAGCAACGCCGCGUGCGGGAUGACGGCCUUCGGGUUGUAAACCGCUUUCAGCAGGGGCGAAGCUUGUGGUGACGGUACCUGCAGAAGAAGCACCGGCUAACUACGUG
rnacentral:rRNA from 1 species